UCGAAACUCGCACGGUGAAUGCCUCAAGAGAGGCUCCUAUUCGAGAGAGAAGAGAGCUACUCCUCUUUCGCGUGACUUUUCAACGGGCUCAAAAGGUCAGAUCUCUCAAGAAUCCUCAACGAUCUGUCCUUUAAAAGCGAGAAAAUACCGGCUCCUCGAUCGAGCCAAGUGCCUUCUUACCUACGAGACAGGAUAAAGGAUAAAUUUUGUAACGUGAAAGAAGAAGAAGGAGAAGAAAAAGAAAAAGAAAAAGAAGAAAAAGAAAAAACAAGAACAAAAUAAGCAAUGUAUAUCGAUACGUGCUAUUUUACACAGUGCUACUCGACGUAGGCUAUUCAAACUGAACAAUAGCAUACUAGUAAUCUUACGUAAAGUUAGCUAGAGAAUCCAUGAUUUAAAGGAAAAGAGGAGUAAGAA
rnacentral:lncRNA from 1 species